rnacentral:rRNA from 1 species
ACGGAGGGUCCAAGCGUUAUCCGGAUUCAUUGGGUUUAAAGGGUCCGCAGGCGGGAAAAUAAGUCAGUGGUGAAAGCCUACAGCUCAACUGUAGAACUGCCAUUGAAACUGUUUUUCUUGAGUAUAGAUGAAGUGGGCGGAAUAUAUCAUGUAGCGGUGAAAUGCAUAGAUAUGAUAUAGAACACCGAUUGCGAAGGCAGCUCACUAAACUAUUACUGACGCUCAGGGACGAAAGCGUGGGGAGCGAACAGG